ensembl:lncRNA
ACAAAAGUUUUGAGUCAGUACUGUGAUCUUGACCAGGACACCUACCGGAUGCUAUUACAGGUGCAACCUCAAGAUCUGGUGAAGGAGCACUUGUGGGGGCCAUGAAUGCUGACUGGGAUCCAGGGCACUGGAAAGGUUUACAGGAGCAGGACCCCAUCUUGUGUAAGGUGAAACAGUAUGGGACCGAGGAAGGAAGCCAUCUGAAGAAAAGAGGCGUUGGGAGUCUAAAUGUACAACUAUACACUGGAUGCAUCAGCCAACACAGCAGCUAAUGUGAAUGUGAAACCAGACCACAACAUGGACAUCAAAACCACACGCUCUCCAAACACUGACUUACAGUCUACCCAUAGCAAGGCUACCCCAGAGGAGAAAUGUGUGGAAAACAGCAGGGGUGUACAUAACAGGUGAGGUCUUGUAUGCCCCUAGUGACAAACCAUAUCUGCCCCACAUUUUUUCCCCCUCAUUAUGCUAAAUUGACACAUAAGAAGUGUCAUGGUCCUGGGUCUUUGACCCCAGGUUUUUGUUUGGACUUUUUCAUUAUUUGGAAUUAUGAGAUGAUUAUGUUUAGUUGUUGUGAGACUCUGUUUUAGUUAAUUAUAUUUCUAGUUUUUGGUUCUUGUUUGUUUUCAUGGCUGUUUUCUUUUUCGUGUCCCAUCUGUCUACGUCUCGUUUGUGUUCAGUCUUCAGCAUCUCCUGAUAUUGUUUGUCUGAUCUCUGUGUCUUUUUGUCUCCAUGUCUGUUCAUUCCAUUGUCCCAGUGUCAGGUUUACG